CGAGAGGUCACGUACGCCGCGCUUCGAAGAACCCCGCUCACCAUUGACAUACGACUCGGUUGUCAAAAACAUGGAGGAAACUAUGGAGAUAAUGAGGGUCCAGAAGACCUCCACUACAAGAAAUUAAAUCUGGAGGUCCUCCCAAUUUUGUUCAGUUCCAAACCAAGCAUUUCAUUUCCAUUAGGUUAAGUUAACAUUUGAUUUAUUAUUAUUAUUAUAUAUUGUUUCACAUAAACUUUACCAGUCAAGAGGACUAUGACCUGUAGGACAGGCAGCUUCCCCAUGUUAGUAAUUAUCUGUGAAUUUCCUGCACCAAAUUCAGUGUUUUGUUCCUUCAUAUAUUAUUUUUUUCUCUCUUACUUCCUGUUCUAUAUAUGCUAUAGGUACAACAUUUGUAAGUAUUUUUCUGGUGAUGUCAAUGUGUUUUAACAUUGACGUGAUCUUCGUCACUUUUAAGUGAUGCUGCCAGAUAAAACAGUUGCAAGAAUGAGGAACAUAAUAUAGCCGGUCACCCAAAGCUAUGCUGCAUCGGGGCCAAAGCCCCCCUCGUGAAGGAGAUUAUCCUUUCUCGUCCACCGCGUCAUGACUACAGGCCCGUUAGAGGCAUACCUGACGAGAGCAACGGAACCAGGAAGUAAAAAUAGCAAAAGGGAAAUCCCCUUGGUCACGUGCAUUUCCGCUUCUAAGAAGUUUAAUAUAGAAAUACAACGUAAUCAAAAGAGCUAGGAGCAUCAUAUUUGUAAAUUCAACCAUGUUUAAUUAAUUAGUUUUUCAUGUCGAAUUCUAGGUACCUCCCAAUCUCUGGGGGCCAGUGCAUGAUUUUGAAAUGCAAAACAAAUAGGAAGUUAACGAUGCUUAAAGCUACGACAAAACCCAUUAGAUGAUGAAACUUUUGAAAUUUGCACGUGGAUACGUGCAAAACAAUCACAAUCAAUUGGGUCUCUAAGAAACCAACAAACAAUUUUUAUAAUGAUAAAAAGCUGUAGCAGCCAGUAUUUAUUGGCAUUAGUUCUGUUGGCACUAUAACUACUCUUAUAAACUAAUUCAGAAAUAAACAUAAUAAAGCUAGAAUGAGAAGUUAAAAUAUACAUGCAUUAAACUAAGUCUUUAAAAUCCCCUUACAGAAAGACAGCGUACAGUAAGAUGUCCAUUGAAAGCAUAUGAAGAUGUAGGACUCAUAUCUUGAACAAUUUUAUAUGUAAAGGAUGGGUUUUUCUUAUCUGAGUCUGCAGCAUGCCAGCCAUUAUGAUAACAAUGACAAUAACUGAAGUUACAAUUCACAAAAAUAAAAUUAAAAAAAUAAUAAUAAAAUAAAAAUAAAUUUUAAAAUUUAAAAAAAAAUCAGUUAUAAACAAAUAAUGAAAUCAGCCACAUGGCCUGGGCAAGUGAUUGAAGGCAGAUAACACAUAUUUUGUACUGAACAAGUUUUAAAAACUGUUACAGUAGAGCUAGAUAAUAACAUGAAGAUAAACAUAAUAAUACAUAAAAAGACAACAAAACACGUAUUCAAGGAGUUCAGUAAAACAAAUCAGAAAAAUCACAUUGCCUUAAAGGGGGAGGGAGGUACAUUUCAUAGUUAUUAAAAAUGCCACUGUUAUCAAGCAAAAUGACCAAAACAUAAAUAUGCAUAUUUCACAGAUAUAUUUUAACUAAAAUUCAUGUUCACAAUUCUUCAAAUUAUGUAAUAGUAACAUUUUGGGUGUAAAUGUGUAAUUCUGGUCUACAGAGCCCCUCUGAAUACCAUCCUCACGGCACAGUGCGUCUACUGAGAACUCAAAUUUGGUAUCGAAAUUCUCCUUCACGAGCCACAGUUAGAUUUCAAACAAAUAUGAAAUUAGAACUUUUGUCAAUGUUUUUUUUUGUCUUCUGUGGGACAUUUGUCUAGAAGAAGUUUGGUUCCUGAGCUCUCAGAUUUGAAAGAUUUUUACCUGGUUAAAAACUUAUGCUAGAAACCAAUAAUGAUACCUCCCCCCCCAAAAAAAAGGGAAAAAAUCCUGAUAUUGAUUGUUUAGUUGCUGUAUCUCACCUGUAGAGCAAUUAGAGGUGACAAACUUCCCUCGCGUCACCCAUCAAGAUAAAGCACAAGUUCAUAUAAAUAUACCAAUUUGCAACAGACUCAAUUAAUAAUCUGGCCUGAAUGAAUCAUCGAUUCAUUCCUUUAACUAAAAUAAUAUUUUUUUGUAUGAGAAGACAGAUAUCUUUAUUUAAGAUAUAAUAUGAUUAUUUAUACAGUAAAAGAGAAAAAGCCCUAAAAUACAAAUUUUGUCAAAAGCAAAGUGUUACCCAAAAUCAAGCUAAUUGCUUAAUUGCUCAAUGUUGAGGAAGGCAAAGACUUUCACUGCUUGUUUAGAGAACUUCUACCAGUACAUAUGUAUACUACACAGACACUUGGCACUAUUGAAUACGCUCAGCUUAAUCAAUGACCUAGAUUCAGUAUGUAGGUCACAUUAUCCAGGUCUUCAUAUCUUAUGACCUUGGUACAGUAUCAAUUAAGGUCAGUGGUUUAAAACAGGGUUUCUGUGUCUAAGGCCGCAUUCACAACCAAAAGUUGAUCCGUGGACUAACAGAUCCCCUGAACCACUUCAAAGCUUACUGCAUAAUCCCCAUGGGGAAUCUAUUAAGUGUCUAUUAUAGGAUUAUGCAGCAAGUUUUCAACUGGGUGAGCCAUACUUGAUCUGGGGAUCAGUUAGUCUGCAGAUCAACUUGUUCUGAAUGCGUCCUUAUUUGUUAUCGAGGAUAUUUAUAGCUUUCAAACUCGUUACUGAACUAAACACGUCAAUGUAUUUUGCUCAACUUUGCCUUAUUCCAGCUACACAUAAGUAAGCUGCAAUAAUUUCAUGCUCACUUCAGUACUUAAUUUCUUCUUGCAUAAUCUGAUUAACAUAUCAGUAGAAAUAUUGAAAUUUUAACAAGACAGAUAAUGUUUAAGGUAAAAGCUAAGGGAGAUGAGGUAUAAUCAAAAUCUAUCUACAUUAGGUUUAUAGUUUAAUUACAGCUCUAUUUAUAUGUGUAUAAAUGAAAAAUACUGUAAGCAAUGAACCUGAUAUUUUAACAAAAACUUAAACUAUUUGCACUUAAUUAGCCAAUGAAACAAAAUAAGCCCCAAUAAAUGAAACUGACAUCUACUUGAAGAUCCUUGAAAGCAAGACUAGGAAUACAAUUACAUGAUCUGCUGGGUUUACACAAUCAACAAAACUACUACUUUCAUAUAUUCAUUUUAGAAUAUUUAUAAAUGAGAGUUGUCUAGAAAUACUAUUAUACUUUUCUCCCUUCCAGUUAAAAUUCCCAUUGAAAUGGCACAAAAUGCCAUUCAAAUUAAAAACAAAAUGCCUUCUUAAAUAGUCUUAAUCAUUUCAAAUGGCAUUAAGCUAUUCAGUAAUAAUACUCAGUAUAAAGUAAGACAUAACUGUGUCUCUAUUAAAUUUGUAUUCACAUUUUUUAUAACCAUCAUGCAUUUUUCACAAAUGCACCAUACAAGUCUUUUGCAGUUCACGAGCUUAAUUACUUCAUGUUGCCGGAUAGCAUUCUACAACUCUAAUAAAUUUAUCAUAAUUGUGGAUUAAAUAUAAUAAGUCCCUUUCUCUGGUCUAAAAAAAGUUCUAACCUGUGACCAACUGUCUACAGGAAGUGCUCAGUCGGCUGCAUACACUUGACGAAUUUUUACAAUUAUAUUAAAAACUACUAGAACUGUCCACUAGAACUGGACAAAUACCCCUUGUCAAAUAUGGACACACAGACAGAGGGGGGAAAUUCCUUCAUGCCCCCGCUACAUGUUAUAGAAUUUAUGUGUGGCAAACUCUCCUUCAAAAUGAUCAAAAUUGCAGGAGGAGAAAAAUCUGCAUGAAAGCUAACUGGCCUUAGGUUAAAUUUCUCAAAAGUUCACUAUUCUGAAACUUUUUAUGCUUUUUCAGAGGUUUAUGGAUCUGAAAUUUGAGAACAAAAACUGUGCAGACCAUUCUACACCCAGGCAAGAUGCUGAAGAUUCAUAUGUUAAAUAUCAAAAAUUGGUUUAAAAAGUUUUUAAAAUGGGAAAAUGGAUAUUGAAAUAAUAUGCACAAGAUCAUUGUGCAAGUGUGAGUGCCACGAAACUAAAUGAAAUCUGCCAGAGAGGUUAGUCAGACAAUUUUUCGACCAUUUACUGACAGGCAGAUGGGUAUGAUUCAGAUACCCUAAGGGCUCAUAGGCAGCAGAUUUAAUAGUUAUUUUUUAGGAAUUCAUUAAUUACUCAACCCAUUUCUACCUGCUACUAAAAAAUUUAUUGCAAGUCCUUGCACUAGGCUGCUAAUACUUCAAAAUUAAGUUGACUAGUCCCCAGCUGGUGGGUGACGACAAUCUCUAUCUCUGCAUGAAGAUAUCAUUUUCACAUUUU